AUGGCGUUUUUAUAUAAACUAUCUUCACCGGUGUCAAACAAUGAACCCAUUUAUGUUGCAGGUCACGGAAAUCGGGAAGCUCUAUCCCAGACCAUGGAGGUUGCGACUGCUCCAAGCGUCUGCUCCAGGGUCUGGACAGAGACUGUUCAGGAAGUGUCCAUGGGUAAGUGUUGGCUCAGGUCGAGACUAGGGCUGCACAAUAUUGCAAGUUAUUUGGAGAUAUUAAACAAGGUCUAUAUUAAAGGAAUAGGCCAUCGUUUUUACAUGCUAAGCUAUGUUCUUAGCUUAGACGAGUUCAUUUGUACCUGUCUGAGCUCCACGUGUGCCUUCAGUAACGUAAACACAGCACAGACAGCGUUAGCAUUUAGCCUCUCUCCUCUCCUCUAUAGCUCCAAACGAGGUGAAGAUAGAAGCUACCAAACUCUUCCACGUUUUCCCUAUUUAAAUAUGGUUACGUGAAGCGUUACACUACAAAGUAUAAUUACACAAAAUUAAACAGUGGAUUUUCUAAGCGGAUAAAAAGGGAACUAUAUUGUAAGGCGUAAUAAUACCAGGAGUAAUUCAUUCAUUCAUUCAUUUACUUAUUUAUUUCAGGCAGAAGGCAACAAAAGAAGACUAUACAGCAGGGGUCACGAAUUAAAUUUCACCAAGGUCCGAAAUGAAAAAAAAUGGUCAAGCAAAGGUCCGGAACAUACGGGGUUAAUUCACGGUUAUAUCA
ensembl:lncRNA